CAAAUACACUCAACAGAAAAUGGCAGCAAGAAACCAAACAAAAGACCUUAAGUGUGCCACACAUCUCCUGAGUGAUAAGUUCAGAAACAUGACUGAGGAGAAGAAGGCAAUUGUGAGGGAUCUCGGAUUCGGUGGGUUGAUGCACAUCCCACCACUAAGGGUGGAUCACCAACUCUUAAGGGAACUGGCAAACAACUUCAAACUUGGGGAGAACAGACUGAAGACAGGAUAUGGUUCUUUCCAAAUAACACCAAAAACAAUAGGUGAUGCGCUUGGCAUCAAUGCAACAGGUAACUAGCUCAAAAUUAUAGAUGUAUA